UUUUCUUCAUGUGCUGCGCCUCUUACCGUGUCCACUCCAUCUUUGUGCUGCGGCUCUUCAAUGACCCAGUGGCUAUGGUGCUGCUCUUCCUCAGUAUCAACCUCCUGCUGGCCCAGCGCUGGGGCUGGGGCUGCUGCUUUUUCAGCCUGGCAGUCUCUGUGAAGAUGAAUGUGCUGCUCUUCGCCCCUGGGUUACUGUUUCUUCUCCUCACACAGUUUGGCUUCCGUGGGGCCCUCCCCAAGCUGGGCAUCUGUGCUGGCCUUCAGGUACCCCCACCUCACCCUUCCUCUUUCUAAUCAAGGAGAAGCCACUUGUCUUGAUUGAGGGGCUCUAUCCCUGAGACUCCCUCAAAGCCAAGAGAGAGGGUUUUGGAGUUGAUUCUGAGCUAGGAAGCCACUAUCUCUAGGCUGUAGUUUCCACAGCUGUAAAAUAGGGUAUUAAAUUUGAUGGUCUCUGAGAGCCUUUUUACUUUUUUUAAUUUUAAGUUUUGAGAUGGGCUCUUGCUGCGUUGCCCAGGCUGGUCUCAAACUCCUGUGCU
rnacentral:sRNA from 1 species